GAAUGCGCCUGUGUGCACACUGCCCAAGCAGCUCCCCGUGCCUGAAGACCCCGUGCAGUCCAGGUGCCCUGGUUUAUUUUCCCCGGGGGAUUGACGUUCUGUUCUGGGCUGUUUCUCCGCCCCUGCACUGCGCUGACAGACACGAGGGGCUGUGAAGGCUGCUGGGGGCCCAGAGUGACAGAUGAGACAGAAGAAAGGCAGCCCUAAGCCAAAGGCUUGGCCUGUUCUCAUUGUCCAAGGCUAGUCUCCAAAACGCCAGCUCUCGAAAGGAUCAGAGAUCAAUGUCCCCUCAUCUGACUUCUGAGUAAAUAAAUCUUCAAAAAGAGCUGUUGUGAAGAUAAGAAAAAUGAGGUAAGUAUGAAGUGUUCAUAAUAGUGGCCACUGUUGUAAAAUGCAGCUCCUGUCUCCGGUGCUCACUUUCACCUGUCCUAGGUGGGGGCCAAGUAGAGUAUUAUUGUCUCAGUUCUUUGGGGUAGAAAUGUGUACUGGAAAAAAAAAAGAAGAAAUGUGUACUGAAAUCUUCAGGGUCCUUUUGCUUUUUAAAAGUUGAUAGCCUCGGCCCUGGCUGGAUAGCUCAGUUGGUGAGAGUGCUGGCCUGUUAC